GAUGAACGCUGGCGGCGUGCCUAAUACAUGCCAGUCGAGCGAACAGACGAGGAGCUUGCUCCUCUGACGUUAGCGGCGGACGGGUGAGUAACACGUGGAUAACCUACCUAUAAGACUGGGAUAACUUCGGGAAACCGGAGCUAAUACCGGAUAAUAUAUUGAACCGCAUGGUUCAAUAGUGAAAGACGGUUUUGCUGUCACUUAUAGAUGGAUCCGCGCCGCAUUAGCUAGUUGGUAAGGUAACGGCUUACCAAGGCAACGAUGCGUAGCCGAGCUGAGAGGGUGAUCGGCCACACUGGAACUGAGACACGGUCCAGACUCCUACGGGAGGCAGCAGUAGGGAAUCUUCCGCAAUGGGCGAAAGCCUGACGGAGCAACGCCGCGUGAGUGAUGAAGGUCUUCGGAUCGUAAAACUCUGUUAUUAGGGAAGAACAAAUGUGUAAGUAACUAUGCACGUCUUGACGGUACCUAAUCAGAAAGCCACGGCUAACUACGUG
rnacentral:rRNA from 1 species